UUUGAAAUCUGGCCCUUGGGUCCGAAUUGUAAUUUGUAGAGGAUGAUUUUGGUGCGGUAUCUUCCGAGUUCCUUGGAACAGGACGCCUUAGAGGGUGAGAGCCCCGUACGGUUGAAUGCCUAGCCUCUGUAAAUCUCCUUCGACGAGUCGAGUARUUUGGGAAUGCUGCUCUAAAUGGGAGGUAAAUUUCUUCUAAAGCUAAAUAUUGGCCAGAGACCGAUAGCGCACAAGUAGAGUGAUCGAAAGAUGAAAAGCACUUUGAAAAGAGGGUUAAAUAGCACGUGAAAUUGUUGAAAGGGAAGGAUUUGUGACCAGACUUUUUCUGGGCGGAUCAUCCGGGGUUCUCUCCGGUGCACUUCGCCCAGUAAAGGCCAGCAUCGGUUUUCGGCGUGGGAUAAAAGCAGUAGGAAUGUGGCUCUC
rnacentral:rRNA from 1 species